rnacentral:lncRNA from 1 species
GUAUAAUUUAAAGAAGCCAUCAAAAGUGUUCCUGGCAAAAUGGAUACCGAAUUAGCAGAAUCAGGAUCGAACUUCAGUGCUGGACAGAGACAACUGGUGUGUCUUGCUAGGACUAUUCUCAGGAAAAGUCAGAUAUUGAUUAUUGACAAAGCAACUUUUAAUAAACAUUUCUACAACUUACAAGCCAAAUGUGGACCCAAGAACUGAUGAGUUAAUACAAAAAUAGUCCAUGAGAAAUUUGUUCAGUGCACUGUGCUAACCAUCACAAACAGAUUGACCACCAUUAUUGACAGCGACAGGAUAAUGGUUUUGGAUUCAGGGAGACUAGAAGAAUACGAUAAGCCAUAUGAUUUGCUGCAAGAUAGAGACGGCCUGUUUUACAAGAUGGUGCAACAACUGGGCAAGGACGAGGCUGCUGCCCUCAUUGAAACAGUAGAACAGUGCUGUUUGGAGGCGGGUAAGCAAGUAUGCAAGCAACAAGAGAAAAAGAAAGUACACUUGAUAUGAAGGUGCACUUCAAAAUGACAUAGACAGGUAUUACUCACAGUGACCAUGUGGUUAUGAACGCUUCCAAUGGACAGCCCUCAGCCUUAACAAUUUUUAAGUCAGCACCGUGAUUCUACCAUGAGGUCAAGUCUAUUCCGAAGGCAUUUCUCCAAUCGUUUUUGCUCUGCAUAAGCUACACUGUAUUUUCUUUACACCAGCAACAAAUAUUUACACAUACAAGAUGUUCGUUUAUUUGGAUUAUUUUCUCCAACUUCACCCAACGAUUCUAAGCUCUUACAAAAGGAUUAUUUUUCUUACCUAAAUCAGAGGUACAGGCCACCAAUAAAAGCUGUCUCCCAGUUUUUGUGCCUUGACAGACUCCAGAGACAAAGCACAUUUUCUAAGGUGCAAGACAAAGUUGUCACAGAUGUUUCUUACUAUUCCCCAAAUUAUAUACCCCUGGUCCAAUUAUAUCAGGGAUUCUAUUUAGUUGAAGUGUUUGAAGUUGCCAUUUUGUCUCACCACUUCCGUUAACAGAACUGGGUUCCAUACCCAAAGACCUCUGGUUAAAAUAGUAAGAGAAAACUAACAGGAAAAACAAAAAAUAUACCUUAGUUUAAGUGACAUUGUAUGAGAAAAAGGCAUCCCCUCUCCAGAAAAAAAAAAAAAAUAGAUAUAGGGUUAAAAUACAGAAGGACAAUAUUAUAUGUUCUAAAAGAGAAGGGAGAGAAAAUAUACUUUUUCAAAAUAGGAGCCCUUCUAGGGGAUUUCAUAAUGAAGGACAGAUGUAUGAUCGAUUGUCUUUUAGACUGAAGAUCUUAUUUUUUAAUUUUUUUUAUUGUGGUAAAAUAUAUAUAACAUAAAAUUUGCCAUAUAACCAUUUUUAAGCAUACAAUUCAGUGUCAUUAAUCACAUUUACAGUGUUGUGCAACCAUCAAUGUCUGGUUAAUUUUUGGUAAUUAUUUUAGGACUAUUCAGUUUGUUAUUUCUAUAGAGUCAUUUUUGGUACAAUUUAUUUCUCUAGAAGUGGAUCCCCUGUGAGUUUUGAACUUGACUGACAUAAACUUAUUCACAAUAUCUUAUAUGUUUAAACCCUGCAGCACCUAUAAUUGUGUUUUUUUGCUUUUUAAGGCUUGAUUGAUCCUUUCUGGUUUUUUAAACAUUUUCUAGUUCAUUAUAUUAUUCUUUCUUUCCUUCAACUUUUCAUUUAUUUUGAGAUUUUUUUCCUCAAUUCUUAAACUGGAAACUUAUAUUAGAAAAAGAAUUAAGUUAAAAAUUAAGUACAUAAAGCAUACUUUUGUUUCCUAAGACCCACCUUAGCUGCAACCUACAAGUUUUGGUGCUUAGCACUGAUCAAUAACCAUAGUAUUAGGUAAUUUCUAAUUUAACUCAAUUAUAUCUUUUACCCAUGAGUUAUUCAUAAGUAUAAUGUCCUCUAAAUUUCAAAUGCUAAUGUACUUUUUCUAUUAGAUUGAACCAUGUGGAACUGCUAACAUUUAACCUUUUUUUAACUUAUAAAAUGGCAGUUUCAUAUGGUUCAACAUAAUAGUUUUCUUUUGUUAUUAACAGAUAAUUUCAUUUUGGUCAGACAACAUUAGAUUGAGGAUUUUAAAUCAAAGGUAACCACAUUUACCCACAAAGUCCUUGUUUCCACCAUUUUGUAUUUUACUUGGUGAUUGUUUCCACCAUUUUGUAUCUUACUUGGUGAUUCUAAAAUGUUAUAUGUGUAACCAGUAAUUUUCAAAUAAAAAUCCUCCCCAAGUACUAGAAUGUUUUCUGAUACAUGCUGCAAGUUGGUUCUCUAGGAUACAGACCCAGAUGGAGUUUAGUGUUGGGAUGUUUAUUAGGGGUGCCCUUGGGACCAAUACUUGCAGAAGCGAGAGGGAAGAAACAAGU